AUUGAACGCUGGCGGCAGGCCUAACACAUGCAAGUCGAACGAGUGGCGGACGGGUGAGUAAUGUCUGGGAAACUGCCUGAUGGAGGGGGAUAACUACUGGAAACGGUAGCUAAUACCGCAUACCAUCGGAUGUGCCCAGAUGGGAUUAGCUAGUAGGUGGGGUAACUGCUCACCUAGGCCACGAUCCCUAGCUGGUCUGAGAGGAUGACCAUCAACACUGGAACGGAGACACGGUCCAGACUCCUACGGGAGUCAGCAGUGGGGAAUAUUGCACAAUGGGCGCAAUCCUGAUGCAGCCAUGCCGCGUGUAUGAAGAAGUCCUUCGGUUUGUAAAGUACUUUCAGCGGGGAGGCGUUACCCGCAGAAGAAGCACCGGCUAACUCCGUGCCAGCAGCCGCGGUAAUUC
rnacentral:rRNA from 1 species